rnacentral:rRNA from 1 species
UACGUAGGUCCCGAGCGUUGUCCGGAUUUAUUGAGCGUAAAGCGAGCGCAGGUGGUUUAUUAAGUCUGGUGUAAAAGGCAGUGGCUCAACUAUUGUAUGCAUUGGAAACUGGUAGACUUGAGUGCAGGAGAGGAGAGUGGAAUUCCAUGUGUAGCGGUGAAAUGCGUAGAUAUAUGGAGGAACACCGGUGGCGAAAGCGGCUCUCUGGCCUGUAACUGACACUGAGGCUCGAAAGCGUGGGGAGCAAACAGG